UAGGGUUUCACACUCCUAGCCGUCAAACACUCCAUUCUCUCCUCUCUCCUCUCUCACCUCUCAUUUUGCUAACUUAAUUUCUCUCUUCUACGACUGAUUCAUCUUACUCAAUAUCCUCCAUUUCACCACCCUAAUUCCCAAAAUUUCCCCUCUUUCUCUCUCCUCUGAAUCGCAUCAAUGGUAGAGGACCCGAUUUAGGAUGUCUUUUGUACGAAUCUCGUUACUCGGAAGUGGAUAUGGCGGUGAUGAUUCAGGUAAAAAAACAUCACAGUACGUUAUGGGUAUGGUUAUAUCUCUUUGAUUUUUUUCAAGCCAAUUAGACUGGAGAAGUUCGCUUCUUCUUCAAGAGAAAGCAAUUAGAUUUGAAUUGGUCUACUAAUUAUGGAGAGGGAGCUUGAGUUCGGAUUUAUAGCUAUUAUUUAAGCUGUAAAAUUUGUGUCGAGAGAGGAUUUGGAAGACAAGAUGAGCUUGUUUGUGUGCAUUGCUUGAUAUUAAAGGUGUAUACAUAAUUCAGGUGUAUACAUGAUUCCGAUCAAUUAGUAUUCCUAGUUCACGACCAGACAGAUGCUGAAAUACUUCUCUGAGGUUGUGAAUGUACUAGAAAGUGGUGAAGUAAAGCUGGAGGAGCGUCCUGCCGUAUGUGGUAAUGCUUUGGAGGCUCUCAAUUAUUUAUCUAGUCAUCUCCAAGAUGAAGACUAUAAAUAGCAUAGAAGUCAUGGAACUAUAGAUAGCAUAAUAACCGAAAUACCUACCUCUGCCACCAGGUUCUGCCAGAAACAAUAAAAGGGAAGCCUUUUAAGAAUCAAGCGAUAUGUUCUAAUCUUUGAACUUCAGCUCACGAAUCAAAAUUGAUUAACACUUAUUCUUGUGGGAAAUAUCUAGGUUCUAUGAAGCCUUUUAAGAAUCAAGCGAUAUGUUCUAAUCUUUGAACUUCAGCUCACGAAUCAAAAUUGAUUAACACUUAUUCUUGUGGGAAAUAUCUAGGUUCUAUGUACUCGGUACAGUGAUGAGGAAUUUUUCAAUGUAAGAUGUGAAGGAUAUCAACCAUGUAUAUGAGACCGAGUUCAGAACAGAGUGGUGCCGAACUAAUUCUACAGCUGCUCCUUGCUUUCUAUUUGCAAGGAAAUUCUCGCAAGGGGGAUGCUAUGCGGCUUUUGAGUGAGAAAGAUGGUUACAAUAGUACUCUGUUGCUCGUUAGGGUACUGUGGUUAUCCCUAUGCAAAAUUUGUAGAUCUUUAGUGUAACAUAUCUAAUCUAAACUCCAACAAUACACGAUCUGGGACUCUUGUAGGCAGUAUGUUGCGGGAAGUAUGAUGCCUGAUUUUACUCGUUAAUUAUCAAGUGUAAAAUAUACUUGUAUAAUAUAAAUAUAUAUAUAUUGACAAAA